UUCCAGACUCCUACGGGAGGCAGCAGUGGGGAAUAUUGCACAAUGGGCGAAAGCCUGAUGCAGCAACGCCGCGUGAAGGAAGAAGGGUUUCGGCUCGUAAACUUCUAUCAACAGGGACGAAAGAAAUGACGGUACCUGAUUAAGAAGCCCCGGCUAACUACGUGCCAGCAGCCGCGGUAAUACGUAGGGGGCAAGCGUUAUCCGGAUUUACUGGGUGUAAAGGGAGCGUAGACGGCAUAGCAAGUCUGAAGUGAAAGCCCAAGGCUCAACCAUGGGACUGCUUUGGAAACUGUUAAGCUAGAGUGCUGGAGAGGUAAGCGGAAUUCCUAGUGUAGCGGUGAAAUGCGUAGAUAUUAGGAAGAACACCAGUGGCGAAGGCGGCUUACUGGACAGUAACUGACGUUGAGGCUCGAAAGCGUGGGGAGCAAACAGGAUUAGAUACCCCUGUAC
rnacentral:rRNA from 1 species